GAUGAACGCUGGCGGCGUGCCUAAUACAUGCAAGUCGAGCGAACGGACGAGAAGCUUGCUUCUCUGAUGUUAGCGGCGGACGGGUGAGUAACACGUGGAUAACCUACCUAUAAGACUGGGAUAACUUCGGGAAACCGGAGCUAAUACCGGAUAAUAUUUUGAACCGCAUGGUUCAAAAGUGAAAGACGGUCUUGCUGUCACUUAUAGAUGGAUCCGCGCUGCAUUAGCUAGUUGGUAAGGUAACGGCUUACCAAGGCAACGAUGCAUAGCCGACCUGAGAGGGUGAUCGGCCACACUGGAACUGAAACACGGUCCAGACUCCUACGGGAGGCAGCAGUAGGGAAUCUUCCGCAAUGGGCGAAAGCCUGACGGAGCAACGCCGCGUGAGUGAUGAAGGUCUUCGGAUCGUAAAACUCUGUUAUUAGGGAAGAACAUAUGUGUAAGUAACUGUGCACAUCUUGACGGUACCUAAUCAGAAAGCCACGGCUAACUACGUGCCAGCAGCCGCGGUAAUACGUAGGUGGCAAGCGUUAUCCGGAAUUAUUGGGCGUAAAGCGCGCGUAGGCGGUUUUUUAAGUCUGAUGUGAAAGCCCACGGCUCAACCGUGGAGGGUCAUUGGAAACUGGAAAACUUGAGUGCAGAAGAGGAAAGUGGAAUUCCAUGUGUAGCGGUGAAAUGCGCAGAGAUAUGGAGGAACACCAGUGGCGAAGGCGACUUUCUGGUCUGUAACUGACGCUGAUGUGCGAAAGCGUGGGGAUCAAACAGGAUUAGAUACCCUGGUAGUCCACGCCGUAAACGAUGAGUGCUAAGUGUUAGGGGGGUUCCGCCCCUUAGUGCUGCAGCUAACGCAUUAAGCACUCCGCCUGGGGAGUACGACCGCAAGGUUGAAACUCAAAGGAAUUGACGGGGACCCGCACAAGCGGUGGAGCAUGUGGUUUAAUUCGAAGCAACGCGAAGAACCUUACCAAAUCUUGACAUCCUUUGACAACUCUAGAGAUAGAGCUUUCCCCUUCGGGGGACAAAGUGACAGGUGGUGCAUGGUUGUCGUCAGCUCGUGUCGUGAGAUGUUGGGUUAAGUCCCGCAACGAGCGCAACCCUUAAGCUUAGUUGCCAUCAUUAAGUUGGGCACUCUAAGUUGACUGCCGGUGACAAACCGGAGGAAGGUGGGGAUGACGUCAAAUCAUCAUGCCCCUUAUGAUUUGGGCUACACACGUGCUACAAUGGACAAUACAAAGGGCAGCGAAACCGCGAGGUCAAGCAAAUCCCAUAAAGUUGUUCUCAGUUCGGAUUGUAGUCUGCAACUCGACUACAUGAAGCUGGAAUCGCUAGUAAUCGUAGAUCAGCAUGCUACGGUGAAUACGUUCCCGGGUCU
rnacentral:rRNA from 1 species